rnacentral:rRNA from 1 species
AAUUUGUUCGAACGGUGGAACAUGUGGUUUAAUGCGAUAAUCCACGCACAACCUUACCAAUAUUUAAAAUUAAAAAAAACUAAAAUAGUAAUAUAUUUAUUAGAUAUUUUUAAUUUCGGUACUGCAUGGCUGUCGUCAGUUCGUGUUGUGAAAUGUUAAAUUAAGUUUUAUUUACGAACGCAACCUACUACAUAUUACAAUACUACUAUAAAAUUAAUAAUUUUUUAAAUAGCUAUUUUGAAUGUGUAAUUAAUCUUUUUAGUAUACUAAACUAGAUUUAGGUUAUAGCUGAAGUCAAGUCCUUAUGGUCUUUAUAUAUUGGGCUACACAUGUGUUACAAUGGUAAAAACAAAAAGUAACAAAUACGUAAGUAAGAGUAAAUCUUAAAAAAUUACCAAAGUACAGAUUAUUUUAUGUAACUCUAAAAUAUGAAGUUGAAAUCGUUAGUAAUUAUAAAUUAGUAUAUUAUAGUGAAAUAAAAGUCAAAUUUUGCACACACUGCCCAUCACGCUCGAAAAAUCUUAUGAAAUUGAAAAUAAUAAUUAGUAAUUAUAAAUUGAACUAUUGUAUAUUAGCUAGGUUUAUUGUAUUUUUGUAAGGUAAUUU